rnacentral:rRNA from 1 species
UUGAACGCUGGCGGCAUGCCUUACACAUGCAAGUCGAACGGCAGCACGGGGGCAACCCUGGUGGCGAGUGGCGAACGGGUGAGUAAUGCAUCGGAACGUGCCCAGUAGUGGGGGAUAGCCCGGCGAAAGCCGGAUUAAUACCGCAUACGUACUGAGGUAGAAAGCGGGGGACCGAAAGGCCUCGCGCUAUUGGAGCGGCCGAUGUCGGAUUAGCUUGUUGGUGGGGUAAUGGCCUACCAAGGCGACGAUCCGUAACUGGUCUGAGAGGACGACCAGUCACACUGGGACUGAGACACGGCCCAGACUCCUACGGGAGGCAGCAGUGGGGAAUUUUGGACAAUGGGCGCAAGCCUGAUCCAGCAAUGCCGCGUGUGUGAAGAAGGCCUUCGGGUUGUAAAGCACUUUUGUCCGGAAAGAAAUCCGUCUGGCUAAUACCCGGACGGGAUGACGGUACCGGAAGAAUAAGCACCGGCUAACUACGU